CCCCAAAUGAAAUAUAGGGUGGGUCUCCUAGGUCUUCUCAUCUGUGUCAAUGACAAGAAAAUUUAUAUUAUAAAAGUGUCUGGUCUAAUCUAGUAUGCAAGACUAUCUCUAGUAUAGUUCAUUCAUUAUAAAGCCUACUGUACUCAGUCACCACCCCUCUCUUACAAGCCUACUUUAAAUUGGAAAGCCUGUCUCGCUUGUUUCGGUGUGGUGAGUGAAAUGGAGAAGGCUAAACUUUUUCUUCCCACAUGCUCACUUCCUUGCUUGUUCGCUAGCUGCUGCAUCUGGCCCCUCAAGGGUAAAGUCAAGGGGAAAAGGAGAUUGAGAGGAAGGACAGUCUGUGAAUUGAACUACUUCUCAAAUCACUAUUCACAUCCUGGUAGAAGUCAAGCAAUGAAGAUGGCACAGAAACACAUCCCAAAUACUAUGAUACCAUAAAGUAUACUGUAGCAAUGCAUUGGCACACCCUCAUUUGAACAUUUGUCUCAGAAGAUUUUGACAGAAGAUAAAAUUGUCUGGUUUUUAUUUCAUUGGUUUCAUGAAAAUUUAUUUCACUGGUUUCAUGUCACAGGCCCAUGACUGUAUAAAGAGUCAUAAUCUUUACAAACACAACAAUGACUCACAGCGACAUGUUGCAAAGCUGUAAUCGAAAACACUGAUGUUGAUUUCAGAGGCCAUUAAUGGUGUUAAGAAGGCGCUUUUGUUAACCAAAUAAUUGAAUACUCGUAAUUACUUUUCAGUUCUAGUUCAGUUCUUGACACCAAAACAAGCCAUUUUCUUUACAUAGUGAAUGCAGAACUUGCCAGUAAGAACUUUCAUACUAAACUUCUAUGUAAAACAAAACAUGUCAAAAUCAGUAACUACUUUAAUGGAAUGGUAAAGAAUUUACUUAAACACAAAGGAAUGAAAAUAUCUCUGCAAAUAUGUCUAUUGACUUUUCAAAUUUGGUGACUUCUUUCGAAUUAAUUCCCUUACGUCUGUUCCUCAUCCACAUAAAAAUGACAAAAAUGAAAGAUAAUUUUCCAGCCUAUAAUUAAAUUUCUCCAUUGUUGGUAUAUGUUUUUUCAAAUACAUUUUUCAGUUUUCAUAAUUCAUAUGAGAAUUAUUAAAAGGGAGUUAGUUGCCUUUAGGACCUUAUUUGGAGCCUAAUUCUUAAAAAUUGUGUAAAAAUAAUUGUGACUUUUAAGAGACAAUUGGAAAUUUGAACCUGACCACAUUUUUGUGAUAUUAAGGAAUUUUAUUAAUUAUUUUCUAGGUGGGGGAAUGAUAUGAUGAUAUUCUUAAAAUAAUGUGUGGAUUGUUUAUUACAUUUCAACAUUUUCUUAAUCAUCAAACAUUUGUUGACCUUCUGCUGUAUCUAGAGCUCUGUGAUCGGGAUGAAGUAUGAGAUAUUAAGCCAUUACCAGGUGGUAGUUACUCUACCUCUGUUUGAAGUUCAUGCCCAGCCCAUUUGUUGCUUUAAAUUUGAGUUCAUUCUUGAGCAUGUGCCACCAAAUUCCAAGCAUUUUCAAAUGGUGAAUUACUUCUUACAAACUCAACGGAGUGUAUGUUAGCCGAUCUGAAGUAACCCACUUGAAGUGAUGCGCUGUGUCAACCUUAAUAUCACCAUCAAAUGAUCCCUAGGGAAUGCAACAUUUGGCUUAUUUCAUUUUUAACAUGUGAAUUUAGUUUAUAUCAAAGUAAUAUAAUACACAUAGUUUAAAAAAAUCAUAUAGUAUGACAACAACUUGAAAGAAAAGCAACAGAUCCUUGCAGGUUGCUCUUCUUCCUCCCCAAGUACCUGAGCAUCUGUCAUUGUCCUCCAGCAUAAGGCCGUCAGGAGCACACCUAUAAUUGAAUAAGCAGGACUCACUACCCAUUUCAGUGAGGGAAAACUCACACCACAGAGAAUCCUGGGGUGUCUCAGGUGAAGGAUGUUAAAAGGGACUUAUAACAGGAUUUGGGCUUUGGUUGGGUGACUCGACGGAAGUUUCCCGCUCUGAAUUGGAUGCUCUCUAAAAGUGGUUAUAAUCUGUGAUUGGGUAUCUCGAUAAGUCUUAUCCUUAGAGAGGGCAGACUAGAGUAAUGCUAAAGAUGCAAUUGUUAAGAAGCAGUCCUCAUUCGUAUUAGCUGAGAGAGGGGAAUGUUUCGUAUUUUGUGGCUUGAACAAUGCUCAUGUGUUUAGACAUGAUUGUAGAGUGAUUUUCAAUUUGUUUUGAUCCAUCAUAGUGCUGAUGUCAUGUUAAUUUUUUUUUUAAUGUUCAACAGAAUACUAACACCUAGCUGUGAGUACCAGGACAGCUGGUAGCAACCCCAAGGCUUUGCUGGUAGUGCCAGGCUAGCUCCUGGAAGUCAGAAGUUGCUUUGUUCUUUCCCAUGUCUUUUCCCAGAGGCAAUCACAUUAAACCUUUUAGAAGUUUCUUCUGGCACUUACCUCCAGAUUCCUAAUAGUUUUUCUUUGUUUUUAAAUGUUUGAUUUAUUUUUAAAUAUUUGACUUCCUGCUAUAGAAAUAAGACUUUUUGCUCUCUUGUAUCCACCCUGCUAUACACAUUUGCUAUGUACAUACCUCCUAUACUCGUCCUAAUAAUACACAUG
rnacentral:lncRNA from 1 species